CGUGGGGCCUGCAGUACAGUGGUCGCCACCCACCCAGCAGCACCCCAGACGCAGCAGGCCCCAGGGCCCGUGCGGCUCCCAUUCUCUGCCUUCCUUCCAAACAGACACAGGAAAGGAAUGUCUUCAAAGCAUUUUUCUGAAAUGUGAUGAAGUCCUGAACGUAGCAUGCUGUGAUUCACGGAGGAAGCGGAUGCUGUCCCGGCCAUCUGGUUCCUUCCUGCUCAUCUUUUUGGAUCCAAAUGAAACAACAACCCCGUGUCUCAAACCAAACGUGUGAAAACAAUGGUCAAGGUCCUGAGUCACAUGGAAGAUGCCAAAUCACCUCGUUGCAGACAAGCAGGUCUGCCCACACCCUACCAAGGUCCCCAGUCGCAUGGAACACACACCAAAUCAGCCCGCUGCAGACAGGCAGGUCUGUGCACGCCCUACCGAGGUCCUGUCUCAUGCAGAAGACACCGAAUCACCCCACUGCAGACAGGCAGACACCUGAUUCCACAAUACAAAGAUGCAGAGGACACCAGACCAC
rnacentral:lncRNA from 1 species